AUCCCGUGAGUUGGUCAUUUAAGUAAGAUUUUCUUGAACCUCACCCAUGUUUCAUGGAUGGGUGCACCUUCCCCUCGCAUGAAUCCUUGAAUUUCAUCUCUAAGUUU